rnacentral:rRNA from 1 species
AUGUGGUCAAGCUCGUAAGGGUGCAUGGUGAAUGCCUAGGCGUCCAGAGGCGACGAAAGACGUGGUAGCCUGCGAUAAGCUCCGGGGAGCUGGCAAACAAGCUUUGAUCCGGAGAUUUCUGAAUGGGGCAACCCUGCAUCGCCGCAAGGCGGUGCAACUGGCGCACGAAUGCAUAGUGUGUCAGAGCCCACCCAGGGAACUGAAACAUCUCAGUACCUGGAGGAAAGGAAAUCAACCGAGACUCCGUCAGUAGCGGCGAGCGAACGCGGAUCUAGCCCAAACCGGGCUUCGUGCCCGGGGUUGUGGGGCCUCGAGGAGUUACAAAGGCGUGAUCAGCAGAACGGUCUGGAAAGGCCGACGAAACAGGGUGACAGUCCCGUAUGCGACGAUCAUUGCUCUCCGUUGAGAGGAUUCCCAGAGUAGCGCGGAUGUCGUGAAACUCCGCGUGAAGCCGGGGGGCCCACCCUCCAAGGCUAAGUACUACUGGACGAC